AGAACGAACGCUGGCGGCAUGCCUAACACAUGCAAGUCGAACGAACCCUUCGGGGUUAGUGGCGCACGGGUGCGUAACGCGUGGGAAUCUGCCCUUUGCUUCGGAAUAACAGUUAGAAAUGACUGCUAAUACCGGAUGAUGUCGCAAGACCAAAGAUUUAUCGGCAAGGGAUGAGCCCGCGUAGGAUUAGCUUGUUGGUGAGGUAAAAGCUCACCAAGGCGACGAUCCUUAGCUGGUCUGAGAGGAUGAUCAGCCACACUGGGACUGAGACACGGCCCAGACUCCUACGGGAGGCAGCAGUGGGGAAUAUUGGACAAUGGGCGAAAGCCUGAUCCAGCAAUGCCGCGUGAGUGAUGAAGGCCUUAGGGUUGUAAAGCUCUUUACCCGGGAUGAUGAUGACAGUACCGGGAGAAUAAGCUCCGGCUAACUCCGUGCCAGCAGCCGC
rnacentral:rRNA from 1 species